rnacentral:tRNA from 1 species
GCUUUGGUGGCCAAGUGGUAAGGCGUCGCACUCGGUAAGUCCCACAUUGGAAUACAUACAACAACCAAUCAACUAACAAACAAUCAGUAAUGCGAAGAUCGGGGGUUCGAUUCCCCUCCGAAGCA